AACGCUAGCUACAGGCUUAACACAUGCAAGUCGAGGGGCAGCAGGGAUUUAGCUUGCUAAAUUCGCUGGCGACCGGCGCACGGGUGCGUAACGCGUAUCCAACUUUCCCGUUACUCAGGGAUAGCCUUCCGAAAGGGAGAUUAAUACCUGAUGGUGUUUGAAGUUCGCAUGUUCUUCAAACUAAAGAUUUAUCGGUAACGGAUAGGGAUGCGUGACAUUAGAUAGUAGGCGGGGUAACGGCCCACCUAGUCUACGAUGUCUAGGGGUUCUGAGAGGAAGGUCCCCCACACUGGAACUGAGACACGGUCCAGACUCCUACGGGAGGCAGCAGUGAGGAAUAUUGGUCAAUGGUCGGAAGACUGAACCAGCCAAGUAGCGUGAAGGAUGAAGGUUCUAUGGAUUGUAAACUUCUUUUAUAUAGGAAUAAAACCUCCCACGUGUGGGAGCUUGUAUGUACUAUAUGAAUAAGCAUCGGCUAACUCCGUGCCAGCAGCCGCGGUAAUACGGAGGAUGCGAGCGUUAUCCGGAUUUAUUGGGUUUAAAGGGAGCGUAGACGGGAUGUUAAGUCAGCUGUGAAAGUUUGGGGCUCAACCUUAAAAUUGCAGUUGAUACUGGCGUCCUUGAGUGCGGUUGAGGUAUGUGGAAUUCGUGGUGUAGCGGUGAAAUGCUUAGAUAUCACGAAGAACUCCGAUUG
rnacentral:rRNA from 1 species